rnacentral:rRNA from 1 species
CCUACGGGAGGCAGCAGUGGGGAAUAUUGCACAAUGGGGGAAACCCUGAUGCAGCGACGCCGCGUGAGUGAAGAAGUAUCUCGGUACGUAAAGCUCUAUCAGCAGGGAAGAAAAUGACGGUACUUGACUAAGAAGCACCGGCUAACUACGUGCCAGCAGCCGCGGUAAUACGUAGGGGGCAAGCGUUUUCCGGAUUUACUGGGUGGAAAGGGGGCGUAGACGGCAGCACAAGUCUGGAGGGAAAUCCCGGGGCUUAACCCCGGAACUGCUUUGUAAACUGUGAGACUAGAGUGCAGGAGGGGUAAGCGGAAUUCCUAGUGUAGCGGUGAAAUGCGUAGAUAUUAGGAGGAACAUCGGUGGCGAAGGCGGCUUACUGGACUGUAACUGACGUUGAGGCUCGAAAGCGUGGGGAGCAAACAGGAUUAGAUACCCGAGUAGUC